AACGAACGCUGGCGGCAUGCCUAACACAUGCAAGUCGAACGAACCCUUCGGGUUAGUGGCGCACGGGUGCGUAACGCGUGGGAAUCUGCCCUUUGCUUCGGAAUAACAGUUAGAAAUGACUGCUAAUACCGGAUAAUGUCGCAAGACCAAAGAUUUAUCGGCAAAGGAUGAGCCCGCGUAAGAUUAGCUAGUUGGUGGGGUAAUGGCCUACCAAGGCGACGAUCUUUAGCUGGUCUGAGAGGAUGAUCAGCCACACUGGGACUGAGACACGGCCCAGACUCCUACGGGAGGCAGCAGUGGGGAAUAUUGGACAAUGGGCGAAAGCCUGAUCCGGCAAUGCCGCGUGAGUGAUGAAGGCCUUAGGGUUGUAAAGCUCUUUUACCAGGGAUGAUAAUGACAGUACCUGGAGAAUAAGCUCCGGCUAACUCCGUGCCAGCAGCCGCGGUAAU
rnacentral:rRNA from 1 species